rnacentral:rRNA from 1 species
AGAGUUUGAUCAUGGCUCAGGACGAACGCUGGCGGCGCGCUUAACACAUGCAAGUCGAGCGAGAACCAGUCCUUCGGGACUGGGGACAGCGGCGAACGGGUGAGUAACACGUGGGUAAUCUGCCCUCGAUUCUGGGAUAGCCCGGGGAAACCCGGAUUAAUACCGGAUAGCCUCUCGAGCUUACGAGCUCUUGAGAAAAGGUAGCUUCGGCCUCCGAUCGAGGAUGAGCCCGCGGCGGAUUAGCUUGUUGGUGGGGUAAUGGCCUACCAAGGCGACGAUCCGUAGCUGGUCUGAGAGGACGAUCAGCCACACUGGGACUGAGACACGGCCCAGACUCCUACGGGAGGCAGCAGUGGGGAAUCUUGCGCAAUGGGCGAAAGCCUGACGCAGCGACGCCGCGUGGGGGAAGAAGGCCUUCGGGUUGUAAACCUCUUUCAGCAGGGACGAAGCCACUCGGGUUAAUAGCCUAGAGGGUGACGGUACCUGCAGAAGAAGCCCCGGCUAACUACGUGCCAGCAGCCGCGGUA